rnacentral:rRNA from 1 species
CCUUACUGCUCAGUAACACGUGGAUAACCUGCCCUUGGGUCCGGCAUAACCCCGGGAAACUGGGGAUAAUUCCGGAUAACGCACAUAUGCUGGAAUGCUUUAUGCGUAAAAUGGAUUCGUCUGCCCAAGGAUGGGUCUGCGGCCUAUCAGGUAGUAGUGGGUGUAAUGUACCUACUAGCCGACGACGGGUACGGGUUGUGAGAGCAAGAGCCCGGAGAUGGAUUCUGAGACAUGAAUCCAGGCCCUACGGGGCGCAGCAGGCGCGAAAACUUUACAAUGCGGGAAACCGUGAUAAGGGGACACCGAGUGCCAGCAUCAUAUGCUGGCUGUCCAGAUGUGUAAAAUACAUCUGUUAGCAAGGGCCGGGCAAGACCGGUGCCAGCCGCCGCGGUAACACCGGCGGCCCGAGUGGUGAUCGUGAUUAUUGGGUCUAAAGGGUCCGUAGCCGGUUUGGUCAGUCCUCCGGGAAAUCUGAUAGCUCAACUAUUAGGCUUUCGGGGGAUACUGCCAGACUUGGAACCGGGAGAGGUAAGAGGUACUACAGGGGUAGGAGUGAAAUCUUGUAAUCCCUGUGGGACCACCUGUGGCGAAGGCGUCUUACCAGAACGGGUUCGACGGUGAGGGACGAAAGCUGGGGGCACGAACCGGAUUAGAUACCCGGGUAGUCCCAGCCGUAAACGAUGCUCGCUAGGUGUCAGACAUGGCGCGACCGUGUCUGGUGCCGCAGGGAAGCCGUGAAGCGAGCCACCUGGGAAGUACGGCCGCAAGGCUGAAACUUAAAGGAAUUGGCGGGGGAGCAC